rnacentral:misc_RNA from 1 species
GAUGAAGAACGUAGCGAAAUGCGAUACGUAGUGUGAAUUGCAGAAUUCAGUGAAUCAUCGAAUCUUUGAACGCACAUUGCACCUCUCGGUAUUCCGGGAGGUAUGCCUGUUCGAGCGUCAUUUCAACCCUCAAGCCCCCGGGUUUGGUGUUGGGGAUCGGCUCUGCCCUUCUGGGCGGUGCCGCCCCCGAAAUACAUUGGCGGUCUCGCUGCAGCCUCCAUUGCGUAGUAGCUAACACCUCGCAACUGGAACGCGGCGCGGCCAUGCCGUAAAACCCCAACUUCUGAAUGUUGACCUCGGAUCAGGUAGGAAUACCCGCUGAACUUAAGCAUAUCAAUAAGCGGAGGA